GUUUUCUUGUGGCAAAGCUGCCAGACUGUCAGUCCCAAAUCAAAAUAAAUGUCUGUCAAUCAGCUGAAGUUUUCAAUAUUUUUAUUAACUUUUACUAGUUAGUGAGUUGUUGUUUCUUUACGAAUCGGACAAUUAGUACGGUUUUGUGUAGUCUUCAAAGUGUCUGCUGCUUGAGGGCCAUAAGUGAGCAUUUUCCCAAAUUUACCUAACCUCACUUGGGGCUGUAUUUUUAUGUGUUGAUGGCAGAACAUGGCUGGAGAAUCACUGGUAGUAGAGGCCCUGUAUGGCUUUAAAGGCAGCAACAAUGAUGAGCUGUGCUUUAAGAAGGGCGAUGUGAUCACGGUCACACAGAAGGACGACGGAUGGUGGGAGGGAACUUUCGAUGGGAAAACUGGAUGGUUUCCCAGUAACUAUGUGAAGGAAUGCAAAGGUAACACGAAUUUGUAUUUUAUUCAAAUACUGUUUUUAUUCUCAAGUGCUGAAAGUAGAUCUAGUUUUAUGAGAUUUGAAUGACAACUUUAAAUUUGAAAUCGGCACUUUGGAAGGGUUUUUUUUUUAUUGCAAUGUUGUCCAGCAACGCGACCCUCACAUGUAAUUCGGGUGCGAAUGGAGGCAGAAUGAAAAUAUCGUUUGUACAUAGCGUUGUGGCUUAAGAUCAAGUUAUGUUGGUCAAUUAUUUAUGUAAUAGCCUACUUUCUAAGCAAAAAGCGAUCUGCCAACUGCAUUUUAAAAGGAUCGUCAAAAUUCAGUACAACUUCUGAUCGCAUUGAAAAUUGCUAGAAGUUUAGAACAUUGAAAACUCUAUUUAAGCAUGUACCAAGCAACUCAUUAGUCUAGCACAUUUAAGAGGACUGAAUUUUUGAAAAGUAAUGCGUAAAAUGUACUUGUUGACCCAGACGAGUUGAUAGCCGCAUUUUCAAAAAUUAAUC
rnacentral:lncRNA from 1 species